AAUUCAACAUUAGAAUCUAUGUUAGGGUAAGUAGGGUAUUUUAACUAGCGCAAAAGAACAACAAAUGUAAAUGUGAAAUAUAGUAUAGGAACCCUCCAAGGUUCUAAAUUUGCGAAAAUAGCCCCAGAUCUCGAAAACUUGUUCCAUAUUCAACCCCUCCGGGCUUAGAUCUUCACCUGCAACGCAAAAAUGGCGAAACUUGAAUUACUGGACCCGCAGCCUGAACCAGACAACAUCAACAUCAACACCAAGAACAAGACGACGACGAAGGAGAGGAACCAUGGCUCAACCAAGCUGUUUGUUUUUGUGGAUUACCUUUUCCUCCUCAUUUUUUUUGGCUUCCUCUACUUCGUCCUUUUCAAGAUAAUCAUUACCUGAUUUUGAUUCAGGAAGGCUUGACCUGGAUGAAUUAGAGAUGUUUUGCCAGUUGAAGUGAGGUGGUUUUGUCAAAUGUGUACUGAGAAAGGUUGUGUUGUGUACUAUAGGAAAUGGAAUAUCUAGUCUUUUUGAUUGUUUGGAUAUUCAUGCACUACUUAAUGAAGUCUAUAACAUUCAUCAUGACAUGUUACAUUAAUUUUGUUAUAUAUUUCUCAUUAAUGAAUAUGCACAUUGUUAAUGGUUUA